GACGAACGCUGGCGGCGUGCCUAAUACAUGCAAGUAGAACGCUGAAGGAGGAGCUUGCUUCUCUGGAUGAGUUGCGAACGGGUGAGUAACGCGUAGGUAACCUGCCUGGUAGCGGGGGAUAACUAUUGGAAACGAUAGCUAAUACCGCAUAAGAGUAGAUGUUGCAUGACAUUUGCUUAAAAGGUGCAAUUGCAUCACUACCAGAUGGACCUGCGUUGUAUUAGCUAGUUGGUGGGGUAACGGCUUACCAAGGCGACGAUACAUAGCCGACCUGAGAGGGUGAUCGGCCACACUGGGACUGAGACACGGCCCAGACUCCUACGGGAGGCAGCAGUAGGGAAUCUUCAGCAAUGAACGGAAGUCUGACCGAGCAACGCCGCGUGAGUGAAGAAGGUUGUCGGAUCGUAAAGCUCUGUUGUAAGAGAAGAACGAGUGUGAGAGUGGAAAGUUCACACUGUGACGGUAUCUUACCAGAAAGGGACGGCUAACUACGUG
rnacentral:rRNA from 1 species